AUGCACACACACACCACACAAACAUCCCACACACUACACAAACCACACACUGUGCAUACACACCACAUACGCAUACCACACACACAAACAUACCAUGCACUACAUACAUCACACACCACACAAACAUAUCACAUACUACACACAUCCCACACUGUGCAUACACACCACAUACACAUACCACACACACAAACACACCACACCCCCACAUAUACAUACACAAACACACACCAUACCAACGUACCACACACUACACACACCACACAUUGUACAUACACAUACCACACACACACUACACUCCCAUACACACACCACACAAACAUACCACACACUACAUGCACCCCAUAUCACAUACAUACACACCACACACCACACACGACAAACAUGCCACGUUACACACACCACACACCACAAACAACAUACCACACACUACACACAACCCAUAGUGUACAUACACACCACAUAUACAAACCACACACACAAACCACCAUGUACACACACAAAUACACACUACACACACUACACAGACACACCACACCACACAAACAUACCACACACUACACACACCCCACACUGUGCACAUUAUAUACACCUACCACACACAGACACACCACACCCCCAGAUACACACACAAACAUGCACCACACAAUCAUAUCGCACAAUACACAUACCACAUACCACACAAAUAUAGCACACACUACACACACCCCAUACUGUACAUACACAACACAUACAUAUACCGCACACAAACACACCACACAAACACACCCACACAUACACACAAACACUACAUACACCACACAGCACACAAACAUACUGCACACUACACACAUACACUGUACAUACAGACAUACACAUACUACACACACAACCACACCAUGCACCCACAUAUACAAACACACACCACAUACCACAAACAUACAGCACACUCCACACGCUGCACAUACCACAUCCACACAGACAACAUACCAUACACACUACACAUUAUACAGCACACAUACGAUGGUGUCACCACAUCACACCCAGACAUCUGGCACCAGUAUGGACCAAGAGCUUAUUCACAUGUCACUCUUGUGGGUGUGUGUGUGGUAUGCAUGUUCAGUGUGGUGUGUGUGA
rnacentral:lncRNA from 13 species